rnacentral:rRNA from 1 species
ACAUAACUGAUGCCUCCGCGUAUCGACUUUGUGCGCAUUUUAGCUAUUAUGUGUUCUUUUAAUUAAAAUGAUUCUUUUUAAGAUUCAUCUAUUAAAAAUUUGCUUCGGCAUAAUUUUUUUUGAUGAUCUUGUUACUUUGAGUAAAUUAGAGUGUUCAAAGCAAACAGAUAUAGCAUUUGUGCGUUUGAAUACUACAGCAUGGACUAACAAAAUUGAACAAGUCAGAAUUUUUUUGUUCUUUUUUCUUAUUUUGGCUUAGUUACGAUUAAUAGGAGUAGCUUGGGGGCAUUUGUAUUCAGAUGUCAGAGGUGAAAUUCUUAGAUUUUCUGGAGACAAACAACUGCGAAAGCAUUUGCCUAAAAUACUUCCAUUAAUCAAGAACGAAAGUUAAGGGAGUGAAGACGAUCAGAUACCGUCGUAAUCUUAACCAUAAACUAUGCCGACUAGGCUUUGGAUGAAAGAUUUUAAAAUAAGAGUUUUUCUUUUCUCUCCGGAGAUUAGAACUCUUAGAUUGCUUCCUUCAGUGCCUUAUGAGAAAUCAAAGUCUUUGGGUUCUGGGGCGAGUAUUCGCGCAAGCGAGAAAGUUAAAAGAAUUGACGGAAGGGCACCACCAGGCGUGGAGCUUGCGGCUUAAUUUGACUCAACACGGGAAAACUCACUAGUUUAAGACAAGAGUAGGAUUGACAGAUUAAUAGCUCUUUCUUGAUUUCUUGGAUGGUGAUGCAUGGCCGUUUUUAGUUCGUGAAUAUGAUUUGUCUGGUUAAUUCCGAUAACGAACGAGAUCUUAACCUGCUAAUUAGCGGCAAAUACGAUAUAUUCUUAUGUAGAAUUGAAUAUAGUAGAUUUGUUGGAUUUUGAAGAAAAUAUUGGAAUUACGUUAAAUGUGAUUCCUUUCCCUUUUCUACUUAAUUUACAUUUCCAUCUAUUUCUUUUUUGCGUAUGAAUGUAUUUGCUUGAUUGUAAAGCUUCUUAGAGGAACGAUGUGUG